AUGGCCGCGCAGGUGACGCGGCAGGUCAGCGGGUGUGCAGGCCGGGUCCGAGCCCGGCUGGCUGGGUCACAGAGCGCGGGCAGCCGCUUGAUGUUCGGAGCGCUGUUCCAAGAGCGGCGAGCCGUGGUGGUGUUUGUGAGGCAUUUCUUGUGUUACGUCUGUAAAGAGUAUGUCGAAGAUCUGGCCAAAAUCCCCAAGAGCGUCCUCCGAGAAGCAGAUGUCACCCUCAUAGUGAUUCGACAGUCAUCAUACCAUCAUAUUGAGCCUUUCUGCAAACUGACUGGAUAUUCUCAUGAAAUCUAUGUUGAUCCUGAGAGAGAAAUUUACAAAAGAUUGGGAAUGAAAAGACGUGAAGAAAUUUCCUCCUCUGGACAGAGCCCCCACAUAAAGUCCAACCUGCUCUCGGGAAGCCUUCAGAGCCUGUGGCGGGCAGUCACUGGCCCACUUUUUGAUUUCCAAGGAGACCCAGCUCAGCAAGGAGGAACCCUCAUUUUAGGUCCAGGUAACAACAUCCACUUUGUGCACCGAGACAGGAAUAGGUUGGAUCACAAACCCAUAAACUCUGUUUUACAGCUUGUGGGGGUUCAGCCUGUGAACUUCAUGAGCAGACCUACAGUCAUCCACGUGUGACU